rnacentral:rRNA from 1 species
ACAUGCAAGUCGGACGGGAUUGAGAUUAAAGCUUGCUUUGAUUUCAUGAGAGUGGCGCACGGGUGCGUAACGCGUGAGCAACCUACCCAUAUCAGGGGGAUAGCCUCUCGAAAGAGAGAUUAACACCGCAUAACAUCAUUAACCGGCAUCGGAUUAUGAUCAAAUAUUUAUAGGAUAUGGAUGGGCUCGCGUGACAUUAGCUAGUUGGAGGGGUAACGGCCCACCAAGGCUACGAUGUCUAGGGGCUCUGAGAGGAGAAUCCCCCACACUGGUACUGAGACACGGACCAGACUCCUACGGGAGGCAGCAGUAAGGAAUAUUGGUCAAUGGAGGGAACUCUGAACCAGCCAUGCCGCGUGCAGGAUGACUGCCCUAUGGGUUGUAAACUGCUUUUGUCAGGGAAUAAACCUUUCCACGUGUGGGAAGCUGAAUGUACCUGAAGAAUAAGGAUCGGCUAACUCCGUGCCAGCAGCCGCGGUAAUACGGAGGAUCCAAGCGUUAUCCGGAUUUAUUGGGUUUAAAGGGUGCGUAGGCGGUCCUAUAAGUCAGUGGUGAAAGACGGCAGCUUAACUGUCGCAGUGCCUUUGAUACUGUAGGACUUGAAUCUAUUUGAAGUGGGCGGAAUAAGACAAGUAGCGGUGAAAUGCAUAGAUAUGUCUUAGAACUCCGAUUGCGAAGGCAGCUCACUAAGUUAGUAUUGACGCUGAUGCACGAAAGCGUGGGGAUCAAACAGGAUUAGAUACCCUGGUAGUCCACGCCCUAAACGAUGAUAACUCGAUGUUUGCGAUACACAGUAAGCGUCCAAGCGAAAGCGUUAAGUUAUCCACCUGGGGAGUACGGUCGCAAGAUUGAAACUCAAAGGAAUUGACGGGGGCCCGCACAAGCGGAGGAGCAUGUGGUUUAAUUCGAUGAUACGCGAGGAACCUUACCCGGGCUUGAAAGUUAGUGAAUGAUCCAGAGACGGAUCAGUCCUUCGGGACACGAAACUAGGUGCUGCAUGGCUGUCGUCAGCUCGUGCCGUGAGGUGUUGGGUUAAGUCCCGCAACGAGCGCAACCCCUAUGUUUAGUUGCCAGCACAU